AUUGAACACAUAUACUUGAAAAGAUUAAACUUUAUUAUUUUUUGACUCAUACUAUUAAAAGUAUAAUUGUCACUAAAUGAGCUCUAAAUCUCCUCUACUUUCAACCAGUAUAGUAUAUAUUCAUACAUGUGCAACACUCAACACACUAGAGAGGUUUGCAAUUUCAGUGAAGACAAGAGCUUUACACAAGUCCAAUAGAGAGACACAAUCACACGCUGUGUCUACAAAGGGACGGUACUAGAAUUAACUCAAAUCAAGUAUUUACUUACUAGAGUCCGUUUAACAAAAUUUAAGGGUAAAUUGAGUUU
rnacentral:sRNA from 1 species